rnacentral:rRNA from 1 species
GACGAACGCUGGCGGCGUGCCUAAUACAUGCAAGUCGAGCGAAGUUUCUCUGGUGCUUGCACCGGAAAAACUUAGCGGCGAACGGGUGAGUAACACGUAAAGAACCUGCCUCAUAGACUGGGACAACUAUUGGAAACGAUAGCUAAUACCGGAUAACAGCAUUAACUGCAUGGUUGAUGUUUAAAAGUUGGUUUUGCUAACACUAUGAGAUGGCUUUGCGGUGCAUUAGCUAGUUGGUGGGGUAAAGGCCUACCAAGGCGACGAUGCAUAGCCGACCUGAGAGGGUGAUCGGCACAACUGGAACUGAGCACCGGCCCAGAUUCCUACGGAGGCAGCAGUAGGGAAUCUUCCGCAAUGGGCGAAAGCCUGACGGAGCAACGCCGCGUGAGUGAAGAAGGAUUUCGGUUCGUAAAGCUCUGUUGUUAGGGAAGAAUGAUUGUGUAGUAACUAUACACAGUAGAGACGGUACCUAACCAGAAAGCCACGGCUAACUACGUG